UUGGGAGCAACCAUUUAACUUCAAAAGGGUGGGGGGUAAUGGUUUUUUGUCUGAGUCAGAAAUGUUUUAGUUUUUUCGACGCUAUCAAUCAAAUUAUUUUUUUCAAAAUACAACACUAUGGGGUAAAUCUGGAUUCCGAUUUUUUUUUUUUUUUUUUUUUGUCAUCUGGUUGACCACAAUAUUUUUUUUUCAUCAAAUUGGGGAUCAGAAUAUUUUCAGGAAAAAAAACAUAACCCCCCUCCCCCCUUUACAGUUAAAUGGUCGUUCCCUUAUAUAUAAAAACAUUGCCCUGAAUAUGUAUAAAAAUCCAAGUUUAGCAACCAUCAAGCGACUAAUCUGUAAUAAAGGCAAAAGAUACCAAGUAGCAAUUAAAAACCACAAGUCGAUGAAGAAAAAAAAACCUGGCGGACAGAGAGACCAUGCUCACAACAUAUUUAUUACCAAGAAAACAAGAGAUUGAACUAAAAACACCCCACGAAAUACGAAAUGAACUCAGGUACUACCGAAAGAUCAGCAGCUGGUUCUAUACUAGUAAACCACAAUAUACUCUUUUUUUUGUAAACAAUUUUCAAAUAGUUUUUUACCAGGUUCGACAGAGUAAGCAUGUUCUGUUAUGUAUGUAUUACCAGGUUCGACAGAGUAAACAUGUUCUGUUAUGUAUAUAUUACCAGGUUCGACAGAGUAAACAUGUUCUGUUAUGUAUGUAUUACCAGGUUUGACAGAGUAAGCAUGUUCUGUUAUGUAUGUAUUACCCGUCACAUGACUUAAAAGUCAGAUCAAGUAACAAGGUCAAAUUCAGGAACAUGCUGAAAUAAUAACAUCACACUUGUUUCAUUAAAAUAAUUUGUCGUUACGAGAACACGCUCGUAGGAAAUCUUAUCAACUGACUUAUGUAAACAUCAUAGGCAAGAGCAGAUACCUAUGUAUUUUUUAAUUUGCUGAUCAAAUUGUGUUCUUAUUUUACAAUGUUACUCGUUGCUUGGUAUAUGAAAAUCGCGACAUAGGAUGAAAAGCAAUUGUCAAUGAGACUCAUUAUGAGUUACAGAAAUGUUCCUACUUCACUUGCAUAUGCGGAUCCAGGGGGGCCUGGGGCCCCUUUCGUGGGAAAAAUUUGGUUGAUUAUAUAGGGAAUCACUGAAGCAUGACUGGAGCGCCCCCCCCUUUUUUAGGUCAGUCAGCGGGCCCCCCUUAUGAAAAGUUCUGGAUCCGCCACUGACUUGUAUUGUAGUGUAGUUGUUUUGAGAGAGAAAAACGCAUUGAUUUAUCUUUCUAGAAUAUUUUUGAAAUUUUUAAUCAGAAAUUACAAAUGAAAUAUACUGAGUUCUGUUUAAUCGGAUUCCUUUGUUAAUCUGUCUUUACAUAUCUCUUGUAUCAAGAAAUACAAUUAUGUAUGCAUGUGUUUUCACUGAACAGAAUAAUAAAAUGGAUUCGGUUUAGACUGGUUUUAUGUAUACGUAUUAAGGAAAGUAUUCAUUAAUAACAUUUUAAUAACAUUUUAUAUGCCC